GGGCAGGGCGGGCGGGAGCGGCCGAACCCCGCAGCCCUCCCCGGCCAUCCCGCCCGGCCCGGCCCCUCGGGAGCGCGGGGCAGCGCCGGGGGCGGCGGCGGCGGCAUCACCAUGGUCGGGCCGGGCCGGCUGCUGCGGCUGCUGGCGCUGCUCGAGCUGCCCUGCUGCCUCCUGGAGCUGCUGCUCGGGGAGGCGGCCCGCGGGCAGGAGAUGUACGCGCCCCACUCCAUCCGCCUGGAGGGGGACAUCACCCUGGGCGGCCUCUUCCCCGUGCACGCCAAGGGCCCCCCGAGCUCGCCCUGCGGGGACAUCAAGAAGGAGAACGGCAUCCACAGGCUGGAGGCGAUGCUCUACGCGCUGGACCAGAUCAACAGCGACCCGGACCUGCUGCCCAACGUCACGCUGGGCGCCCGCAUCCUGGACACCUGCUCCCGGGACACCUACGCGCUGGAGCAGUCCCUCACCUUCGUGCAGGCGCUCAUCCAGAAGGACACCUCCGACGUGAGGUGCACGAACGGCGAGCCGCCCGUCUUCGUCAAGCCGGAGAAAGUAGUUGGAGUGAUCGGGGCGUCGGGAAGUUCCGUGUCCAUUAUGGUGGCCAACAUCCUCCGGCUCUUCCAGAUCCCACAAAUCAGUUAUGCCUCAACUGCACCAGAGUUGAGUGAUGACAGGCGCUAUGAUUUCUUCUCACGUGUGGUUCCUCCAGAUUCCUUCCAAGCACAAGCAAUGGUGGACAUUGUGAAAGCUUUGGGAUGGAAUUAUGUAUCCACUUUGGCAUCUGAAGGGAAUUAUGGAGAAAAAGGAGUCGAGUCCUUCAUGCAAAUUUCCAGAGAGGCAGGUGGGCUCUGCAUUGCCCAGUCCCUGAAGAUCCCCCAGGACCGCAAGGACAAGACCAUCGACUUCGACAAGAUCAUCCGGCAGCUGCUGGAGACGCCCAACGCCAGGGCCAUCGUCAUCUUCGCCAACGAUGAGGACAUCAGGCAGAUCCUGGCGGCCGCCAAGAGGGCGGAUCAAGUGGGACAUUUCCUGUGGGUGGGCUCGGACACGUGGGGCUCCAAGGUGGGCCCGCUGCUGCAGCAGGAGGACGUCGCCGAGGGGGCCAUCACCAUCCUGCCCAAGAGAGCCACCAUCGAGGGAUUCGAUGCCUAUUUUACCUCCCGCACCCUGGAGAACAACAGGAGGAACGUGUGGUUUGCAGAGUACUGGGAGGAGAACUUCAACUGCAAGUUGACCAUCACUGGCUCAAAGAAGGAAGACACGGACAGGAAAUGCACAGGGCAGGAGCGCAUCGGGAAGGACUCCCCGUACGAGCAGGAGGGGAAGGUGCAGUUCGUCAUCGACGCCGUGUACGCCAUGGCCCACGCCCUGCACCACAUGAGCCGCGACCUGUGCGCCGACGGCGCCGGGCUCUGCCCCGACAUGGAGCACGCGGGGGGCAAGAAGCUGCUCAAGUACAUCCGCAGCGUGAACUUCAACGGCAGUGCUGGCACUCCAGUGAUGUUCAACAAGAACGGGGACGCCCCAGGGCGCUACGACAUCUUCCAGUUCCACAGCACCAACACCAGCACCCCGGGCUACCGCCUCGUGGGCCAGUGGACAGAUGACCUCCAGCUCAACGUGGAGGAGAUGCAGUGGGGCGGGGGCGUGCGGGAGGUGCCGCCCUCGGUGUGCAGCCUGCCCUGCAAGCCCGGCGAGAGGAAGAAGAUGGUGAAGGGGAUGCCCUGCUGCUGGCACUGCGAGCUGUGCGACGGGUACCAGUACCAGGCGGACGAGGUGACCUGCCUGCUCUGCUCCUACAACGAGCGGCCCAACGAGAACCGCACGGGCUGCCGCUCCAUCCCCAUCAUCAAGCUGGAGUGGCACUCGCCCUGGGCCGUCAUCCCCGUCUUCCUGGCCAUGCUGGGGAUCAUCGCCACCAUCUUCGUCAUGGCCACGUUCAUCAGGUACAACGACACGCCCAUCGUGCGCGCCUCGGGCCGCGAGCUCAGCUACGUCCUGCUGACCGGCAUCUUCCUGUGCUACAUCAUCACCUUCCUGAUGAUCGCCAAGCCCGACGUGGCCGUGUGCUCCUUCCGCAGGAUCUUCCUGGGGCUGGGCAUGUGCAUCAGCUACGCGGCCCUGCUGACCAAGACCAACCGCAUCUACCGCAUCUUCGAGCAGGGCAAGAAGUCGGUGACGGCGCCCAGGCUGAUCAGCCCCACGUCCCAGCUGGCCAUCACCUCCAGCCUCAUAUCGGUGCAGCUCCUGGGGGUCUUUAUUUGGUUUGCGGUUGACCCGCCCAACAUCAUCAUAGAUUAUGAUGAGCAGAAAACUAUGAACCCCGAUCAGGCCAGAGGAGUUCUCAAAUGUGACAUUACGGAUCUACAAAUCAUUUGUUCCUUGGGUUAUAGCAUUCUGCUAAUGGUGACGUGCACUGUGUAUGCCAUCAAGACUCGGGGUGUCCCAGAGAAUUUUAAUGAAGCCAAACCCAUUGGAUUCACUAUGUACACUACCUGUAUAGUAUGGCUUGCCUUCAUUCCAAUAUUUUUUGGCACUGCCCAGUCAGCUGAAAAGCUCUACAUACAAACCACCACACUCACGAUAUCCAUGAACCUCAGCGCGUCGGUGGCGCUGGGGAUGCUCUACAUGCCCAAGGUUUACAUCAUCAUCUUCCACCCCGAGCUCAACGUGCAGAAGCGCAAGCGCAGCUUCAAGGCGGUGGUGACGGCGGCCACCAUGUCCUCCCGGCUGUCCCACAAGCCCAGCGACCGCCCCAACGGCGAGGCCAAGACGGAGCUGUGCGAGAGCGUGGACCCCAACAACUGCAUACCACCAGUAAGAAAGAGUGUUCAAAAGUCUGUUACUUGGUACACUCUUCCACCUACUGUAUAGCUUUUGCCUGCUUUCCAAAAAGUCCACAGCAUUCAAACAGAAACAUUAAAGAGGUAGUUUGGAUUAGUGGGUUUUCUGUACCGUUGGCUCCAAUUAAGGAAUAGGAGUUGGAUUUGUUUCUCCCCUGCCAUAAUCUCAUACAGAUUUGGAGACACAUUUCCUAAGAUCCUGUGCACUUCUCCAGCUACCUGUGAGGCUGGUGCAGGUGAGGCACUGGGCAUGGGAUUGGGGUGAGGGUUGUACAGUGACUCUCUCUGCUUGUCCUCUGGGAACCACUUCCAUCCUCACGUUCUGCUGCACUUGGAGCAGGAUUUCUGCCCCCCAUGGCCUGACCACAGCCCACUCUCAGAGCACAAACACAGCUCUUCCUGAAGCCUCUCUGCAAUCUUUCACUGCUGGAAGUGUUGAUAAAGCCUUCUUGCUGUUCAUCCUCUGAUCCCACUCUCUCUGAUACUUUCAAGCUUCACCUGACACAGAGGUUUUUAUCUGCAAACAGACAAGGAGGAGAUUGGGGAAGAUGCAGCCAAACAUGCUCGAGAUUGAUGUUCUUCAGCAGUACCUACUUUGUUGAUUUUAGCUUUUAUUUAGAAGGGUACAACUAAUCCUCUGUUACAAUCUUAUUUCCUGACUCCAAAUCUCAAUCUCAUAUUUUCUGUCUGGCAAAACCCUGAUGAUUUUUCAGGCCAUAAACAGUCUGGCUCUACUCUGUGACUCAAAGUCACAUUUUAUUUUAAUGGCUCAGAUGGGAAAGUUCAGAGGAAGGACUCUGGAUUGAUCUCUGCAGGUGCCCACCUUGAUAACACCUGCAAAGCCCAGGGGUGGCAGGCAGAGCUGAUCCCUCAGCACAGCCCCGGGAGGCCAGAGCAGUGCCUGUCACCACAGGCAUUGGAUCAUCCCUCCAGCUUAACAAAGGGAGUUUAUUGAGGCUGACAGAGGUAUUGGCAUGAGCAGCUCCGAGGCAGAGAGAUAAAUGAUGUGCUUUGUUUGUGUACAGAGAACUGGCCCUGGCCCUGGGAAAUCUGUUAGAAAUGGUGAGUGCCACCUCCUGCCAGUGAAAACAGGGAAUAGAGAUCACAGCCCAGUGCUGGGAGAUAUCCCAGGACACCCCAUAGCCCUGGUUUUACAAGUAAUACAGGUGCACAACUUUGUAAUAUUUUUCAGAGCAGCACAUUUCCUCACCGAGUUUCCUCACUGAGUUUUGCCCUUACCACGGUCCUGUCUCCUGCCAGAGACACCUGGAUUUCAGUAACUUUCCUCAGGGAUGUGUUUUGCCCAGGAAAGGAACCUGCCCCUGGGAUUCCAGCACUGGGGGUUUGGGCAGGGAGAGGGACUGUGGGGGCACGUGGGUGCUUCCAGCAGAGUGGUGGAAAACCAGAGAGACCUGAAGCACUCCCUGUGUCCAAGGGGGACUAUGCUAUACAAGUGUUGUGAGGAACCAAUAACUUUCCACAUUAUUUUAUACUGUACUGUAAAUUUUUAGGGUGAACAAUGCUGGUUGUGCUGAAACUGGGAGGUGCUUUGCCCUUGACUGGAGCAGGAGUGGGAUUUCAGUGGAUUGCAAUUCCAUGCCUGUCUGGAGAGCUGGAGUUGAACUGGGAGUUCACCACUGCACUGUCCUAAAAACAGCAAGGGCCCUGCUGCAAAAAAGAAGUACGUCAGUUAUAACAACCUGGUGAUCUAGGCCGCUCUCCGGGGUGAGGAUUCCCUGCCCCGCUGGCGCAGCCUCCCCCGUGCGGGGUGGCAGGGCCCGGCGGCACCCGGGACGGCGCGAGGGGAGCCCCGGCUCUGACGGCUGCUCCCGGAACUCCUGCCCCGCUCCGGGCUCCGGCCGCACCGGCGUGGCCAUCGGCCGGGCCUCGGGCCUGCUCCGGCCAUGGCCUCGGGCCUGCUCUGGCCGCGGGAGCCACCGAGGCCGCGGGGGGACCGACCCCGCGCAGGCCACAAAGGACUCUAAGGGGCUAAUUCUGUCUUUCUAUGUACUUCCAGACUGCAAGUUUUUGAACUCUCUGUACAGUUUGUGAGGAUUUUUGCAUAUCGCCAUCCAUGUUGUUCCGAGGUCACUGUUUGUUUUUCGGAUGCACAGUUUCAUGAGGCCCUGUGCUCUCGGCACUUCUCAAACCAACCGGCAACUGAGGAGCUCAGACCUGUGUACAUGACUUGUAUGACUACUCUUGUAUCACUGCAAUCCAUAUACCUUAUUUUUUUUAACUAAACAAACAAACAAAAAAGAAUUUAAAGACCAAAAACUGUGCUGGCGAAGUUAGUCCCCCCUUCACACCUCCGAUGGGCUGCAGAGGAAGCAGAAGGAUUUUUGCUGAGUUUUAGUAGAGGUCUUGAUCUUUGGAAUGCAUGCCAGUAAUGUAUUUUAUGGUACAUGUUAAUAAUUUAUGUUUGAUAUUUGUAUUUGUGUUCUAUUUUGUUCUUUUCUUUAAGGUAUGUGACUAUUUUGCAAUAAUUUCAAUGAUUAUGAUAUUUGGAGGAAAGAAUAUGGCUUUUACAUGUCUUGAGGUUUUUCUCUGUUGAUGCCCCACCAUGAUUGACCAGUGUGAUAAGGACUUACAGAAGCAUGUAUGUUUUAUACUGUUUGUAAUAAGUAAUUUCGUUAAUCUUGCUGCUUAUGUGCCAAUUUAGUGAAACCGAUCUUUGCCGCAACCUCCUCCCUCCCUUUCCAUUCUCUCGAUCCUGUGAUAUUAUCCAAGAAUGUAUCAAUAAAGGAUUUUGGUUAACUUUUUUUUAUUUA